UGGGGAAUCUUAGACAAUGGGCGAAAGCCUGAUCUAGCCAUGCCGCGUGAGUGAUGAAGGUCUUAGGAUCGUAAAGCUCUUUCGCUAGGGAUGAUAAUGACAGUACCUAGUAAAGAAGCCCCGGCUAACUCCGUGCCAGCAGCCGCGGUAAUACGGAGGGGGCUAGCGUUGUUCGGAAUUACUGGGCGUAAAGCGUACGUAGGCGGAUCAGAAGUAUGGGGUGAAAUCCCAGGGCUUAACCCUGGAACUGCCUCAUAAACUCCUGGUCUUGAGUUCGAGAGAGGUAAGUGGAAUUCCAAGUGUAGAGGUGAAAAUUCGUAGAUAUUUGGAGGAACACCAGUGGCGAAGGCGGCUUACUGGCUCGAUACUGACGCUGAGGUACGAAAGUGUGGGGAGCAAACAGGAUUAGAUACCCUGGUAGUCCACACCGUAAACGAUGAAUGCCAGUCGUCGGGUAGCAUGCUAUUCGGUGACACACCUAACGGAUUAAGCAUUCCGCCUGGGGAGUACGGUCGCAAGAUUAAAACUCAAAUGAAUU
rnacentral:rRNA from 1 species